GCAUCCGUCGCUCAGCUGGAUAGAGUACUCGGCUACGAACCGAGCGGUCGGAGGUUCGAAUCCUCCCGGAUGCACCA
rnacentral:tRNA from 2 species